rnacentral:rRNA from 1 species
UACGUAGGGGGCAAGCGUUGUCCGGAUUUAUUGGGCGUAAAGAGCGUGUAGGCGGCCUGAAAGGUCAGCUGUGAAAACUCGAGGCUCAACCUCGAGACGUCGGUUGAAACCAUCUGGCUAGAGUCCGGAAGAGGAGUGUGGAAUUCCCGGUGUAGCGGCGAAAUGCGCAGAUAUCGGGAAGAACACCCGUGGCGAAGGUGGCACUCUGGGACGGUACUGACGCUGAGACGCGAAAGCGUGGGGAGCGAACAGG